rnacentral:rRNA from 3 species
GCUUGACACUGAACAUUGAGCCUUGAUGUGUAGGAUAGGUGGGAGGCUUUGAAGUGUGGACGCCAGUCUGCAUGGAGCCGACCUUGAAAUACCACCCUUUAAUGUUUGAUGUUCUAACGUGGACCCGUAAUCCGGGUUGCGGACAGUGUCUGGUGGGUAGUUUGACUGGGGCGGUCUCCUCCUAAAGAGUAACGGAGGAGCACGAAGGUUGGCUAAUCCUGGUCGGACAUCAGGAGGUUAGUGCAAUGGCAUAAGCCAGCUUGACUGCGAGCGUGACGGCGCGAGCAGGUGCGAAAGCAGGUCAUAGUGAUCCGGUGGUUCUGAAUGGAAGGGCCAUCGCUCAACGGAUAAAAGGUACUCCGGGGAUAACAGGCUGAUACCGCCCAAGAGUUCAUAUCGACGGCGGUGUUUGGCACCUCGAUGUCGGCUCAUCACAUCCUGGGGCUGAAGUAGGUCCCAAGGGUAUGGCUGUUCGCCAUUUAAAGUGGUACGCGAGCUGGGUUUAGAACGUCGUGAGACAGUUCGGUCCCUAUCUGCCGUGGGCGCUGGAGAACUGAGGGGGGCUGCUCCUAGUACGAGAGGACCGGAGUGGACGCAUCACUGGUGUUCGGGUUGUCAUGCCAAUGGCACUGCCCGGUAGCUAAAUGCGGAAGAGAUAAGUGCUGAAAGCAUCUAAGCACGAAACUUGCCCCGA